GCUGCCUUCGUCUAGUGGUUAGGACCCAAGCUUGUGGCGCUUGUAACACGGGUUCGAAUCCCGUAGGCAGCA